UUGGAUCUGUUGUUGUUAUAUGCCUUAUAUGUAAUAGAGUUGUAGUAUUACAUGUUAUCUACAACCUGGAAUCAAUAGAUCACUUAGAUCAAACUCAGAAUGAAAGAUAUAAAGAUCCAAAGUAGCCUGCACGAUCUGUUUUAAAAUUCUGGAAAACCCAGAAUUGGCAUACAAGUUUUGUCAGAAAGUUUGAUGAUUUAUAUCUUUGGUAUUGUUAAUAUUUAGACUUGAAACUUGAUUUAAUCAUGUUCUCUGUAAGUUG
rnacentral:lncRNA from 1 species